rnacentral:rRNA from 1 species
CACGUAGGGUGCGAGCGUUGUCCGGAAUUAUUGGGCGUAAAAGAGCUCGUAGGCGGUGUGUCGCGUCGGCUGUGAAAACUCGGGGCUCAACCCCGAGCCUGCAGUCGAUACGGGCAGACUAGAGUGCUGUAGGGGGAGACUGGAAUUCCUGGUGUAGCGGUGAAAUGCGCAGAUAUCAGGAGGAACACCGGUGGCGAAGGGCGGGGUCUCCUGGGGCAAGUAACUGACGCUUGGAGGGAGCGAAAAGCCGUGGGGGGAGCGAAACAGGA